rnacentral:rRNA from 1 species
UACGUAGGGACCAAGCGUUGUUCGGAUUUACUGGGCGUAAAGGGCGCGUAGGCGGCGCGGUAAGUCACUUGUGAAAUCUCUGAGCUUAACUCAGAACGACCAAGUGAUACUGCAGUGCUAGAGUGUGGAAGGGGCAAUCGGAAUUCUUGGUGUAGCGGUGAAAUGCGUAGAUAUCAAGAGGAACACCUGAGGUGAAGACGGGUUGCUGGGCCAACACUGACGCUGAGGCGCGAAUGCCAGGGGAGCAAACGGG